UUGUCUGUAGCUCAGUGGUUAGCACUUAGGGCUUGUAACCAAAAGGUUCCGAGUGCGAACCUCGCAACAGGCAGA
rnacentral:tRNA from 1 species